CCCCUAGAUGUUCUGGGCCGCACGCGCGCUACACUGAUGCACUCAACGAGUCUCCACCUUGACCGAAAGGUCCGGGAAACCUUCGAACUUGCAUCGUGAUGGGGAUAGAUUAUUGCAACUAUUAAUCUUCAACGAGGAAUACCUAGUAGGCGCAUGUCAUCAGCGUGCGUCGAUUACGUCCCUGCCCUUUGUACACACCGCCCGUCGCACCUACCGAUUGAAUGGUCCGGUGAAAUCUCGGGACGGCGGCUUGGUCGCUUGCGUCCGACUGCUGAAACUUGAUUAAACCAUAUCAUUUAGAGGAAGGUGAAGUCGUAACA
rnacentral:rRNA from 1 species